UGGCGACCGGCGCACGGGUGAGUAACACGUAUCCAACCUUCCGUUUACUCAGGGAUAGCCUUUCGAAAGAAAGAUUAAGACCUGAUAGUAUGGUGAGAUUGCAUGAUAGCACCAUUAAAGAUUUAUUGGUAAACGAUGGGGAUGCGUUCCAUUAGGUAGUAGGCGGGGUAACGGCCCACCUAGCCGACGAUGGAUAGGGGUUCUGAGAGGAAGGUCCCCCACAUUGGAACUGAGACACGGUCCAAACUCCUACGGGAGGCAGCAGUGAGGAAUAUUGGUCAAUGGGCGAGAGCCUGAACCAGCCAAGUAGCGUGAAGGAUGAAGGUCCUACGGAUUGUAAACUUCUUUUAUACGGGAAUAAAGUAUCCUACGUGUAGGAUUUUGUAUGUACCGUAUGAAUAAGCAUCGGCUAACUCCGUGCCAGCAGCCGCGGUAAUACGGAGGAUGCGAGCGUUAUCCGGAUUUAUUGGGUUUAAAGGGAGCGCAGACGGGAGAUUAAGUCAGUUGUGAAAGUUUGCGGCUCAACCGUAAAAUUGCAGUUGAUACUGGUUUCCUUGAGUGCAGUUGAGGCAGGCGGAAUUCGUGGUGUAGCGGUGAAAUGCUUAGAUAUCACGAAGAACCCCGAUUGCGAAGGCAGC
rnacentral:rRNA from 1 species